UGAGGAAUUUUGCGCAAUGGGAGCAAUCCUGACGCAGCAACGCCGCGUGGGUGAUGAAGGCCUUCGGGUCGUAAAGCCCUGUCAGGUGGGAAGAAUGUCCCGGGACUGAACAGGUUCCGGGAGUGACGGUACCACCAGAGGAAGCACCGGCUAACUCCGUGCCAGCAGCCGCGGUAAUACGGAGGGUGCAAGCGUUAUUCGGAAUUACUGGGCGUAAAGCGCGUGUAGGCGGUCCUGCAAGUCUGAUGUGAAAGCCCCGGGCUUAACCCGGGAAGUGCAUUGGAAACUGUACAACUUGAGUGCAGAAGGGGAGAGUGGAAUUCCAUGUGUAGCGGUGAAAUGCGUAGAUAUAUGGAGGAACACCGGUGGCGAAAGCGGCUCUCUGGUCUGUAACUGACACUGAGGCUCGAAAGCGUGGGGAGCAAACA
rnacentral:rRNA from 1 species